rnacentral:rRNA from 1 species
GAUUAACGCUGGCGGCGUGCAUAACACAUGCAAGUCGAACGAUGAAACUUUACUUACUUCUUCGGCAUGAUUUAAAGCGGAUUAGUGGCGAACGGGUGAGUAACGCGUGAGUAACCUGCCUUACACAAGGGGAUAGCCUCUGGAAACGGAGAAUAAUACCCUAUGAAACCAGACAAUCGCAUGAUAAUCUGGUCAAAAUGUUUAGUGGUGUAAGAUGGACUUGCGUCUGAUUAGCUAGUUGGUGAGAUAAAAGCUCACCAAGGCAACGAUCAGUAGCCGGCUUGAGAGAGUGUACGGCCACAUUGGGACUGAGACACGGCCCAGACUCCUACGGGAGGCAGCAGUGGGGAAUUUUGCACAAUGGGGGAAACCCUGAUGCAGCGACGCCGCGUGAUUUAGAAGGCCUUCGGGUUGUAAAAAUCUUUUGUAUAGGAAGAAAAUGACAGUACUAUACGAAUAAGGUCCGGCUAAUUACGUG